CAAACACCAACCAAGUUACCAGGCUGAGGGCUAAGCAAUGUAUAUACAAUGUAUUUCAUCGUUCCAUAUUUUUUAAAGCACCUACUGAAGACAAGGAGUAUGCUUGGGAGACACAACAGUGAAUACAAAACAGCUCCUCCUCUCAAGGCAUUUACAGAGCAGUGAGGGAAAAUAGACAUGUUUAAUACAAAGAUAGCUGAUGAAAUCGCUUUCUGUCAGUAGCAAUUGCUGUAUGGCAAAUUCUAAGAAAAGCAACUUUGUUAAUCUGGAUUCACACUAAACUGAUAUGCACGAAACAUCAGAUGAGUAUGUCACAGCCCAUCUGGCUUCCCUUUUGUGCUGGCUACUCGGAAGGUCAGACCUGAAGGUAUUAUGGCGGAGUGAUAAGCCCAGAGACCCUGGAGUGGGAUGGCUUCUACUGCUCAACGAGGAACCUUGGCAGGUGUGUGUCCUCUGUGGGCUUCUGUUUCCUCGUCCAUAAAAUAACAAUGGAACUUGCCUCAUGGUGUCGCUGCGAGGGUUAAAUAAGACAAUGUGUGUACCGCACUUCCUGGGGGCACGAUAAAUGUUAAGGACAUAUUUAUCACAUCGACUGGUGAGUCUCAGGAGGGAGAACGUGGUGUGUCCUUGUACCUGGUUUGGUGGAUGAGGGGGCGGUGGCUGGGAAGAGGAGGGAGAGCUUGCAGGAGGGGUGAGGGUCUGAGGGCCUCAGGGGCAAGCGCAGCUGGCAGUGCCAGGGCCCCGGGUGGCUGGUGCCUCAAAAGUGAUAAGCGGGCUGUCAUAGUCCAAAUCGAAAGUGAUUUUGGUAACAUUUAAUAGCGGUUUUCUCUUUUAAAAAAAGUCUCUGCUUGUCAAAU
rnacentral:lncRNA from 1 species